GCAGGCCAGGCAGCAUCUAUAGGAAGAAGUACAGUCAAUGUGUCGGGUCGAGACCCUUCAUCAGGACUAACGGAAAAAAGACACGAUGCUGCCUGACCUGCUGAGUUCCUCCAGCAUUUUGUGUGUGUUGGUCAAGAUUUCCAGCUUCCGCACAAUCUCUUGUGUCUCCAAAAUUACAGAGCAGAUAUUGAGAUGACUUCACUGGUGGAGGUACAUAUCGUUAUGGUGGAUCAGGGUUACAUGUAAUUAUGGCUGUACCCAUAGAUGGAAGGUGUACAUGCAUUGUGACUGUUACACAGGGUUCUUUUGAAGACUCUGACCUGGAGUUACACACUGACUUCGGUUCUUUGUGGGAAUGUGCCCAGCUCUCGUAGUUUCACAACUGGCCGUUAUUUGAUAUGCCAAGGAUGCAGCCUAAGAGAUUAGCUCUCCUUCGGAUUUCCGGGAUCUCGUGGCUCUGGAAACGGGCAGACCAAAGGUCGGUGACCCAGCAGGAAAUCAGUGUGUCGUGGGAGACAGAAGAUUUCUGGCUAUCAGAUCUUUGGGUACAGAGCUUGGAAAAAGCCAUGGACUUUUAACAUCGUAAAUCAGCAAGUUGUUUGUUAUGUCUCCCCUCUCGCUGUGAAACAGAGUCACCUCUUUCUCCCUUAUUAGGGAGAGAGAGAGUCUGUGGUGUAUCAAAUACUGGGUGAACGAGUAGUCUUUGGGUACUGCAAGUCUGUGUCUUUGCUGUUG